GAUGAACGCUGGCGGCGUGCCUAAUACAUGCAAGUCGAGCGAACGGACGAGAAGCUUGCUUCUCUGAUGUUAGCGGCGGACGGGUGAGUAACACGUGGAUAACCUACCUAUAAGACUGGGAUAACUUCGGGAAACCGGAGCUAAUACCGGAUGAUAUUUUGAACCGCAUGGUUCAAAAGUGAAAGACGGUCUUGCUGUCACUUAUAGAUGGAUCCGCGCUGCAUUAGCUAGUUGGUAAGGUAACGGCUUACCAAGGCAACGAUGCAUAGCCGACCUGAGAGGGUGAUCGGCCACACUGGAACUGAGACACGGUCCAGACUCCUACGGGAGGCAGCAGUAGGGAAUCUUCCGCAAUGGGCGAAAGCGUGACGGAGCAACGCCGCGUGAGUGAUGAAGGUCUUCGGAUCGUAAAACUCUGUUAUUAGGGAAGAACAUAUGUGUAAGUAACUGUGCACAUCUUGACGGUACCUAAUCGGAAAGCCACGGCUAACUACGUG
rnacentral:rRNA from 1 species